rnacentral:lncRNA from 1 species
GCAAAGCCCACGGUGCUGCUGCUCUUUGGGAGUGGGUGGUGCUGCUGAUGGAUUUGGAUUCAAAUUCCACAUCUGCAUCUUCUGCUCACACAGGUCAAUGCAUUUUGAAGCAGAUGGAGCAGUAAUUCAUGAAAAAUAGUGUUUAGGAAAGAAAAGGUAAGUCAAUUUUACAGACCCCAUAAUGUCUAUAAAUGUCUGACUGGCACUGGAUUGGGAAAGGGUCAGAGUUGCUCCACAGCUUCUCAUUUAUUUAUAGGGAAAAAGGGGGAACACCACAGCUGCCAGAUCCCAGACUUGACACCCCUCCUCUGUGCAUUUCCUGAUUCUUCCUCCAUCUAAUGGAUCAAAUAUUUGAAAUGAUUUGGAAUCUGAAGUGUGGACGUGCAGAACUUUUUGGGACAGAUGUGUUAGUGACAGGAUGAAGCUGUGAGGGACAAACGAUGGGUGCAGCACUCUCUGUCUUCGUGGGAAGGCUGGGUGGGACAGGCACCUCAAGGAGCAGUUUUAAGGAAGCUCUGCAGAACCAUGUCCUGAGAGUACAGAGCACCUGCAGACACCACCAGCUGUGCUUCUCCUGGCUUUGGCAGGGAACUGCUCCUGGGGGCUGCUGCCUCAUGCUGGAUUUCACACCUGGAAAAGCUUCUGGAGAUUUUUAUUUGUCUCCAGAUAAAAAUCUGCGUUGCUGUCCAAUGUGUAAGUACAAGAGCACUGUCAUGGACAGGCAGUGUGUGUUGUGAUACAUGGCUGUGGGGUGGUGGGAGCAGUUCCUUUUCCAGCUCUCUGUGAUCCCUGGGAGCAGGGAUGUUUUCCAUGCUCCAUGUGCUCCUGGGCCCAGGCAGUGCCAGA